rnacentral:rRNA from 1 species
GAUGAACGCUAGCGGCAGGCCUAAUACAUGCAAGUCGAGGGGUAGUGGUUGCUUGCAGCCAUGAGACCGGCGCACGGGUGCGUAACGCGUAUGCAACCUACCUUCAUCUGGGGGAUAGCCCGGAGAAAUCCGGAUUAAUACCGCAUAAAAUCACAGUACGGCACCGUACAAUGAUCAAACAUUUAUGGGAUGGAGAUGGGCAUGCGUGUCAUUAGUUAGUUGGCGGGGUAACGGCCCACCAAGACCGCGAUGACUAGGGGAUCCGAGAGGAUGACCCCCCACACUGGUACUGAGACACGGAACAGACUCCUACGGGAGGCAGCAGUAAGGAAUAUUGGUCAAUGGGCGCAAGCCUGAACCAGCCAUGCCGCGUGCAGGAAGACGGCCCUCUGGGUUGUAAACUGCUUUUAUUCGGGAAUAAACCUGCUUACGUGUAAGUAGCUGAAUGUACCGAAGGAAUAAGGAUCGGCUAACUCCGUGCCAGCCGCCGCGGUAAUAC